UACGUAGGGCGCAAGCGUUAUCCGGAAUUAUUGGGCGUAAAGAGCUCGUAGGCGGUGUGUCGCGUCGGCCGUGAAAACCUGUGGCUUAACCAUGGGCUUGCGGUCGAUACGGGCAUCACUGGAGUUCGGCAGGGGAGACUGGAAUUCCUGGUGUAGCGGUGAAAUGCGCAGAUAUCAGGAGGAACACCGGUGGCGAAGGCGGGUCUCUGGGCCGGUACUGACGCUGAGACGCGAAAGCGUGGGGAGCGAACAGG
rnacentral:rRNA from 1 species